CUGAAAUGGCAGUAAUAAGUUUAGACGAAUAAACAAAAGGAUCUUCUACUAGGCAGGUCUUCAGUCAAGAGGUGGAGAAAUGACUACAGC